GCCAAGACUAAGGGUGUGUUUGGUUGACAGAUUUAGCUCUAAGGAAUGGAUAUCAAAGUUAUUGGUAUUGUUUGGUUGAUAGGUUUUUAGGACUCUAUUAUAAGU